rnacentral:rRNA from 1 species
GAUCCUGGCUCAGGAUGAACGCUAGCUACAGGCUUAACACAUGCAAGUCGAGGGGCAGCAUCAUCAAAGCUUGCUUUGAUGGAUGGCGACCGGCGCACGGGUGAGUAACACGUAUCCGAACCUGCCGACAACACUGGGAUAGCCUUUCGAAAGAAAGAUUAAUACCGGAUGGCAUAGUUUUCCCGCAUGGGAUAAUUAUUAAAGAAUUUACGGUUGUCGAUGGGGAUGCGUUCCAUUAGG